rnacentral:rRNA from 1 species
AGUGAACGCUGGCGGUAGGCCUAACACAUGCAAGUCGAACGGCAGCACAGUAAGAGCUUGCUCUUACGGGUGGCGAGUGGCGGUCGGGUGAGGAAUACAUCGGAAUCUACUUUUUCGUGGGGGAUAACGUAGGGAAACUUACGCUAAUACCGCAUACGACCUACGGGUGAAAGCAGGGGAUCUUCGGACCUUGCGCGAUUGAAUGAGCCGAUGUCGGAUUAGCUAGUUGGCGGGGUAACGGCCCACCAAGGCGACGAUCCGUAGCUGGUCUGAGAGGAUGAUCAGCCACACUGGAACUGGGACACGGUCCAGACUCCUACGGGAGGCAGCAGUGGGGAAUAUUGGACAAUGGGCGCAAGCCUGAUCCAGCCAUACCGCGUGGGUGAAGAAGGCCUUGGGGUUGUAAAGCCCUUUUGUUGGGAAAGAAAAGCAGCAGGUUAAUACCCCGCUGUUCUGACGGUACCCAAAGAAUAAGCACCGGCUAACUUCGUG